rnacentral:rRNA from 1 species
AGAGUUUUGUAUUCCUGGCUCAGGAUGAACGCUAGCGGCAGGCUUAAUACAUGCAAGGCAGGGGGCAGCAAUGUCACCGUGUACGGGUGCGUAACGCGUAUGCAACCUACCUUCAACUGGGGAUAGCCCGGGAAACCCGGAUUAAUACCGCAUGACACAUUGGUAUAGCAUUAUAUUAAUUGUUAAAGAUUUAUUGGUUGAAGAUGGGCAUGCGUUCGAUUAGCUAGUUGGUAUGGGUAACGGCCUACCAAGGCGACGAUCGAUAGGGGAGCUGAGAGGUUGAUCCCCCACACGGGCACUGAGGUACGGGCCCGACUCCUACGGGAGGCAGCAGUAGGGAAUAUUGGGCAAUGGAUGCAAGUCUGACCCAGCCAUGCCGCGUGCCGGAUGAAGGCCCUCAGGGUUGUAAACGGCUUUUAUUCGGGAAGAAGAGCAGGGAUGCGUCCCUGUGUGACGGUACCGAAUGAAUAAGCACCGGCUAACUCCGUG